rnacentral:lncRNA from 1 species
GGCCGAGCCGGGCAGGUCAUUUGAGGUUCGGAGUUCGAGACCAGCCUGGGCAACAUAAGCAAGACCCUGUCUCGAAAAAUAAAAAUAAAAAAGAUACUCCUAUUUGUCUAUACUGUGUACUAAAUGAGAAAAAAACUUUCAAUAUAUUUGUGCUAAGUUUUUAAAGCCACAUCAAUUGGCUCAAAGUCCUUAAUAAACAAUUAAGGUAUGAGAAUAGUAUAUAGAUUUUAAAACCAGAUGUAUAACAUUGUAAUUUUAAAAAAUAUUUUAAUGAUCAUCAGACAUAAUUUGCAAUUUGAAUCCAACUCUGAACAAGAACAAAAAUGAAAAAACCCAUCUCUUAAACAGAGCUAGGCUACUUUAAACACAGGAAUAAGGCAAAUGCCCUACUCAGUAAUGAGAAGCUCCUCAUGUAACUGUUUCUACAACAUAGCUAUCACCAGGCCUGAAUUCUUUUGGGCUCAGAAUUUGUUCUAAGAAAUGGCUAUUAUUAAAAAGUCAAAAAAUAACAGAUGCUGGCGAGCCUGUGGAGAAAAGGGAAUGUAUAUACAUUUCUGGUGGGAAUGUAAAUUAGUUCAGCCAUUGUAGAAAGUAGUUUGGUGAUUUCUCAAAUAACUUAAAACAGAAUUACCAUUUGACCUAGCAAUCCCAUUACUGAGUAUAUACCCAAAGGAAUAUAAAUUGUUCUACCAUAAAGUCACAUGCACACACAUGUUCAGUGCUGUACUAUUCACAAUAGCAAAGACAUGGAGUCAACCUAUAUGCCCAUCAACGGUAGACUGGAUAAAGAAAAUAUGGUACAUAUACACCAUGGAAUACUACACAGCCAUAAAAAGAAUGAGCUUAUGUCCUUUGCAGUAACACAGCUGAAGCAAACUAACACAGGAAUGGAAAACCAAAUACUGCAUAUUCUCACUUAUAAGUGGGAGCUAAACAUUGAGUACACAUGGACACAAAGAAAGGAAUAGACGCCUGGGGCGUAUUUGAGGUUGGAGGUGAGAGGAGGGUGAGGAUAGAAAAACUACCUAUCAGGUACUAUGCUUAUUACCUGGGUGAUGAAAUAAUCUGUACACCAAACUCCCAAGAUAUGCAAUGUACCUAUACAACAAACCUACAUAUGUACCCCUGAACACAAAAUAAAAGUUAAAAAAAGAAUUUGCUUUAAGAGUUAACUUUUAAGAUGUCAAUAUCCCAAGUGGGCAAUUAUUUUCCACUGUCUUUAGUCCCUAUCUUUUGGUACAGGUCCACUUUCUAGCAAAGAGUAGAGCACAGAAUGUAUCAGAAACAUGGAUAGAUAAGUUGGGUGGAGGGGUCCGUUUGGAGCUGGGGCUCAUAGCCUGGGGACAGAAGGGAGUAUCGACCAGUUCCUUCCACGGGUAUGCAAAGCACCCUAAAUUGCCUUAAUAAUAAUGAACACAGCAUGAUACAUUUAUAGCCAAAUAUUUAUGUGGCGGCAUUUCUCUUUGGUUUAAGUAUCUUGAGAACAGUCACAGCCCUGAGUACUGACAUCAUUUCCUUUUUUUUUUUUUGCCUUUUAGUCCAAUGUGCUGUGGGAAACAAGAGGCAGGAUGCUUGGAGGUAGAUGGAGGCAGGGGACUGGGAAUUUCUGCAAGGUGAUAACAAAUAAUGGGGGCCAGGCGUGGCAGCUCAUGCCUGUAAUCACAGCUCUUUGGGAGGUCAAGGUGGGAGGAUUACUUGAGGCCAGGAGUUCAAGACCAGCCUGGGCAAUAUAAGAAAUAAAGGGGCUUAAAGACAAGGCCCUUUAAUUUCUCAAUAAAAGUUCAAUUAAGAAUAUCCCAAAGUUGACUGAACUGAAAGAUGAUAGACACUGUGUUUUUUUUUCAAGCCUUAGGUAGGCUUGGGGGCAUCCAGUGUGCCUUUGGUGGGUAGUGUGGGGUGGAUCUAAAAUCUAGAGACCUGGGAUAGGCAGACAAAUGAAAGGUGAGAGCUCUUGGGAGUCAUGCAGAAGUUGCCCUCUGCCCUGGAUCCUUACUGUAUUGACAACAGAGCAGGAGCCCUGUAAAUACAUGCUGAUUAAAUUUACAUCAAAGAUUUCCAUCUAAAAAUAAUUUUCUCCUUAGUGUCCUAUAGAUACCAAACUUUUAAAUACACAGAGAUAAAAACCCAGCGAUCAAGACUUCUACUCCCUCACCUCCUAUACCAGAUGAUUUCCUUAGUCUGAAAGGCCUUUACUGAUGGCACACAAUGAAGGAGGAGAAUGUUGGGGAGUAGGGGAACAAAGUAUUUUUUUUCUCAAAUACAGUUCUGUAUAUCUACUUGGGCCUCUGUUUCUUUGAGUUAUAAAGAAAGAAGCUGCUUCAGACAUUACCUGUGGGAAC